rnacentral:lncRNA from 1 species
GCUCCCUGCAUCCCCAGCCACCUGUCCCAUUGCAUCCCAAUUGAAUCUGAAGAAGAUGGAGAAUGGGACAUUGCAGGGGCAUGGCACACUGUGGGUGACAUCAAAUCCUAAGGAACAGUGGCUGAACUAUUCCUGCAGGGCCAGCAGCUCCCACACUGGCUGCAGCCUGUAGGGAAACAGUGCCCCUUUUUUUUUUUCCCAGCAGGCUGCCCUUAGCUUUAGUCAUUAUCCCCCUGCAACCCUCAGAGCCCAAACCCCAACCCUUCUGCUUGCACGAAACACGCAGUUCAGCCCGGAUUUAGUCAGGAGCUUGCCAAAACACCCAAAAGCACAGCGUGCCAAGGGUCCAGCCCCCAAAGCUGUGGCUCCUCUGAGGGCUGGCGGUGCAGCAGGGCUGUGCACAAGGCGCCCUUGUCCCCUGUGCCGUGGAACAAAGGCCGCUGCUGUGCGCUAAUGCUGGCGGCUUGGCGGCAGGCAGGGGGGUGAUGGGGCGGGCACGGGGUGGAUUAGCCUCCAGUGAUCCCACAGGGAGCUUUCUGAGCACCCUGCAGCUCCCAGACGCUGGAGGUUUCUCCACAGUUCCCUGGUGCUCCGGGCAGGUGCCGGCAAGAGGCCACCGCCAGCGUCCCCGCAGGCUGAGCGAGCGGCUGGUGCAGAGCAGGACACCGGUGGCAAUGCUCACCUAG